CCAAUAGCGUAUAUUAAGGUUGCUGCGGUUAAAAAGCUCGUAGUUGAAUUUCGGGAUUGAUGCAUCGGUCGUGCCUUAAGGGGUAUGAACUGGUGUGGUCGAUUUCUUACCUUCUGGUGAAUUGUGAUGUCCUCCUUAAUUGGGUGUUUCAAUGAACUAGGACUUUUUACUUUGAAAAAAUUAGAGUGUUUAAAGCAGGCAAUAUUUGCUUGAAUACAUUAGCAUGGAAUAAUAAAAUAGGACAAUGAUUCUAUUUUGUUGGUUUCUAGGAUCACUGUAAUGAUUAAUAGGGAUAGUUGGGGGCAUUAGUAUUCAAUUGUCAGAGGUGAAAUUCUUGGAUUAAUUGAAGACUAACUACUGCGAAAGCAUUUGCCAAGGAUAUUUUCAUUAAUCAAGAACGAAAGUUAGGGGAUCGAAGACGAUUAGGUACGUCGUAGUCUUAACCAUAAACUAUGCCGACUAGGAAUCAGACAACGUUAAAUUUUUAAUGACUUGUUUGGCACCUUACG
rnacentral:rRNA from 1 species